rnacentral:rRNA from 1 species
GCACAAGCGGUGGAGCAUGUGGUUUAAUUCGAAGCAACGCGAAGAACCUUACCAGGUCUUGACAUCCCUGACAACCCGAGAGAUCGGGCGUUCCCCUUCGGGGGACAGGGUGACAGGUGGUGCAUGGUUGUCGUCAGCUCGUGUCGUGAGAUGUUGGGUUAAGUCCCGCAACGAGCGCAACCCUCGACCUUAGUUGCCAGCAUUCAGUUGGGCACUCUAAGGUGACUGCCGGCUAAAAGUCGGAGGAAGGUGGGGAUGACGUCAAAUCAUCAUGCCCCUUAUGACCUGGGCUACACACGUGCUACAAUGGGCGGUACAAAGGGUCGCGAACCCGCGAGGGGGAGCCAAUCCCAUAAAGCCAUUCGUAGUCCGGAUCGCAGUCUGCAACUCGACUGCGUGAAGUCGGAAUCGCUAGUAAUCGUGGAUCAGCAACGCUGCGGUGAAUACGUUCCCGGGCCUU